rnacentral:misc_RNA from 1 species
GAUCAAAUCUAAUAAGAUUAAGAUUUUAUGUAGGUAUUCCAUUUUUCUUGUCUUGUCACAUUUAACUUGCCUAUAUUACAUGAAGUAACAAACUUAAAACAGAAACUUCAGCACUUCGGGGACUGUUUAUCCUUUUAAUGUUAGUUUCAGGCUGCUCUGCCGAUAUUGUGAAUCAAUAUAUUGAAGCAUUUCCAUGUAAUUUUAA